rnacentral:lncRNA from 1 species
AUGGGUGCAGCCCUAGAAAAGGCAAAAAGACAAAAAAAAAAAAAAAAAGAAAGAAAGAAAGAAACUAAAUGUAAAUUUGUUUUGGUAGUUCUAACCACUGUCAUAUGUCAUGAAGGAGAAAUUAAUACUUUUUGGAAAGAGACAAAAAUGUGUUAUAGGAAAAUACAAAAUAAUCAAUUGAAAAGGGAUUGUAACAAUACAAGUUUCAGGAAAUUGAUGGAUAUAAGAUUGAUAGCAAAUUUUUGUUUAUUUAUUUGUUUUUACUUUUUAUUUUUUGCUUUUUUUAGGGCCACACCUGGGGCUUAUGGACAUUCCCAGGCCAGGGGUUGAAUCGGAGCUACAGCUCCCAGCCUACACCACAGCCACAGCAAUGCCAGAUCCAAGCUGUGUCUGCAACCUGUACCACAGCUCAUGGCAACACUGGAUCCUUAACCCACUGAGUGAGGCCAGGGAUCAAACUUGCAACCUCAUGGUCUAGUCAGAUGCAUUUCCACUGAGCCACAAUGGGAACUCCAAGAUCAAUAUCAAAUUUUUAAAAAUCAGUAUUUACCUCAACUUCAAGAAAUUCUAAGAUUUCUGAAAAGAUUCCUUCACAAUAUCUAUAAAAUCCAUGAAAUACUGAGACAUAAUCUUAGAGAAUCGUAUGUGAUUUAUAUGAGGAAAACCAUAAUAUAUUAACAUUGAAUUUAGAGAUAUAAAAGAGCUAUAUAUCUAAUAUAUAUCUUUUAAAUGUAAAAACUAUUAAUUCAUUAAUUUUUACAUUUUGGGCCACACCUGCGGCAUGCGGAAUUUCCCAGACUGGAGACUGAAUCUGCGCCACAGCAGCAAUCUGAGCCAUCGCACUAAGAGCGCCAUAAGCUACUGCGCCACCAGGAACUCCCGAAAAUUAUUUUAAAAUGUUAAUUCUUUCUCAGUGUGUAGCCUCAUUGCAAUAGCAGAAAAACUCCCAAGGGUGUUUUAUUUGGAAUUUCUAAAUUUUAUGUGGAUUUCUAAAUUUCCUUUGGAAAGAAUACACUAGUGAGAAUAUUAAUGAGCAUUCCUAAAAGGAAGCCCAAUUACAGUGGUCACAAGUGAAAUAGGGUAGCAAUGACCUAAGAGGAGAAAUGCAAUUCAGAAUGGAAUCGGUGGACUAGAUGAUCAAUAGAAGUAGGCUCUAUCACGUAGACAUAACACAUUAUAAAGUAGGAGGAAAUAAUUCAAGUGCAUAUUAGUAAACUAGAAAUGACUAAAAUAAGAUCGGAAAUUAAUCUCUUGCUUUGAAUCAUGGCAAAAUACAUUUAAGAUGGACUAAAGGGUAAAUACAUAUUUAAAUUGUAGAAGAAAAUAGAAUUGAGUAUUCACCCAACCUGUAGAAAAAGGAUGGUUUUGGUGCUGUUUUCAAAGGAUACGUUUCUAAACUUUAAAGGAUGAGAAGAGGAGUUCCCGUCGUGGCGCAGUGGUUAACGAAUCUGACUAGGAACCAUGAGGUUGCGGGUUCGGUCCCUGCCCUUGCUCAGUGGGUUAACGAUCUGGCGUUGCCGUGAGCUGCGGUGUAGGUUGCAGACGUGGCUUGGAUCCCGUGUUGCUGUGGCUGUGGUGUAGGCCGCUGGCUACAGCUCCGAUUCGACCCCUAGCCUGGGAACCUCCAUAUGCCAUAGGAGCAGCCCAAGAAAUAGCAAAAAGACAAAAAAAAAAAAAAGGAUGAGAAGAAAUCGCAACAGAUGUGACUACCUAAAAAUAAAAGGUAAAGUACUUUUAAAAAUAAUCUCCA